AUACGAUCGGCACGGCCUGCAGUCGUCUCCCGGACGACAUAGGCCACGAAUUGGCGG
rnacentral:sRNA from 1 species